UCCGUCGCUCAGACCAUCACACCUCUCUGUGCUCUCUCUGCUCUCUGCUUUCUUCAUCUCCAGGUCUCCCAUCUGUCCCUGUCUCUACCAUCCUCAUCCUCACUCUGUCUUUCUUUGUCUCUCCAUGGGAGUCAUGUCCUCCCCCAGGUUCCUGUCACUUCAUCUGCUUGGAGCCUUGCUGCUGCCACUGCUGCUGCUGCCUGGUUCUUGGGCCCAGCAUUAUGAUGAUUUCACAUCAUCUCCAGAUUACGACUCUGACUACAACUCCACCUUUGAGUACAGCUUCUUCAGUAAUACGAGCAGCGAGGACCUGGACAGACUUGUGGAACGCUACCUCGAUCCAGACGAAACUACGGAGGACACUGGAGGACCAGAGGAGGAAGUGGCUGUAACCAUGGUGAUUACAAGAAGAACAACAGAGGGGGUCAACGCUCACGGCACUGCACCAUUUCCUGUAUGUUUGAGGCAGCCGAUGGAAGACAGCACACUGCUCCGUAGACCAUUCAACACUUUAUUACUUCUAGAAGGGAGAUGCGUCCUGCACGACACGUUGCUGCAGAUCUCAAAAUGCUGGUGUGCCCCUUUAUUACAGAAGCUCUCUCAUUCUAGUCUAAACAACAGUGUCGCAGUAACUUUCCACCAGAGAUGCUCCCCUCUUAUCUACUUUUUCCCAGGCGAGAGCGAGAGUCUGCAGCUCUCUACUCCCCAAGGACACAUGGUCUCAUGCCUUUAUUUUCAGGGCUGUGUCCACUACUACACUAUAUAACUUUAUAACACUUAUUAAUAAAAAAGCAUAGAUUAUUGAGGCACUGAAAAAUUAUUUAUUCCCCACAGUUAUUUAACAUAUAAUCACAGUAAACUAGUAAUAACAAAACAACUAACAAGCUUCAUGGUCAAACUUUCUAACAAAAACAAUAAAUAUGUUGUCAAAUGUCACUUAUGACCCACUGAAGAUGAUGAUGAAGACUAUUUAACCAUUUAACAAGCUGAUGAUGUGUUUACUGUCUGCAGGAAAUCAGGACGCUGCUCUGGACUCUGGUGAUCCUGUUGGUCCUGCAGCAGCUGCAACACACACUCUGGUGACAGGUGUCGAGACAAGCCCCUCAGCUCCGUCCUCAGUGAACAUGGCUCCUCAUGGGAGCAGGUGGACCAAUCACAGAGCUUCUUUCCUGAACCAUUUCAGAAAGUUUGCAGACAAACGCCUGGAAGAUUUCACUACGUGGUGACAUUUUUAUUAUACGUAAAGACGUUUUUUGAUGGAACUGCUGAUUAAGCCAUACUUUAGAAAAGAUGUUUAUAUUUGUAAUAAAAAGAUGUUUUUAAA